UUCCCUACGGGUGGCAGCAGUGGGGAAUUUUGCGCAAUGGGCGAAAGCCUGACGCAGCGACGCCGCGUGGGUGAUGAAGGCCUUCGGGUUGUAAAGCCCUGUGGGGAGGGAAGAAUAAGGGAUGGUUAAUACCCAUACCGAUGACGGUACCUCCUUAGCAAGCACCGGCUAACUCUGUGCCAGCAGCCGCGGUAAGACAGAGGGUGCAAACGUUGUUCGGAAUUACUGGGCGUAAAGCGCGUGUAGGCGGCGAUGCAAGUCGGGUGUGAAAGCCCUGGGCUUAACCUAGGAAGUGCACUCGAAACUGCAUAGCUCGAGUCCCGGAGAGGAUGGUGGAAUUCUCGGUGUAGAGGUGAAAUUCGUAGAUAUCGAGAGGAACACCGGUGGCGAAGGCGGCCAUCUGGACGGGUACUGACGCUGAGACGCGAAAGCGUGGGUAGCAAACAGGAUUAGAUACCCGAGUAGUCCGU
rnacentral:rRNA from 1 species